rnacentral:lncRNA from 1 species
CUACUUUGUAUUAUAUAUUAACAUAUAACUAAUUUUGUAAUCGAGAGAUGCGAAAGAAGUAAUACCGUUAAUUAAAGUAUUGAUAGAUUGUUAAUAUUUAUUUGAUGACAUUUAUCUAUUUUAUGUUACACUUAAUUCUACACUUAUUUGUAAUCAAAAAAGGCGAAUAGUGUAAUUAUUAGUUAUAACAAGUAAGGUUAACGAAAGGGACUUACUAAUAGAGCAUGUUUUAGUUGAAAUACAUAUUUUUGAUUCUUUAAUAUUAUUAUUUUGAUGAUUAAAUUGUAUAACCGAUAGGAGUACAUUUAAUUGUUCAAAUUCAGUAAUUAUAUAAAAAUAUAACCAUGAAAGGUAUUUACACAUUUAUGAGAAGAAAUUAAGAAAUAAAGAAUUACUUUAUAAUAAAAAUAUCAAGUGAAGUCGGGAUCUAACACCUUUUAACAUAUUGUGAAAAAUAUUUUCUCUCUUUACAAGUUAUUAAUUAGUUAAUUUACCAUUCAACUCUUUCUGAUUUUCUCAAAUAGUAAUUAAACAAGAACUAUUUGUAGAAUAGAAAAGUCAAUCUCUAUGAGUUCGACAUCUUUCUACACUAUUAUUUGACAAAUUACGCAUUAAAAAACAUGUAUACAUCAGUGACUUGUCAAUCACGCAAGGAACAAAUCAAAGGACUACUACCUUCAACCCAACAAUCAAGGAAACAAUCAAUUCCAUAAGGAAAGAAAAUUUUCGUCAAAGGUCAUACGCGACAGUAAAGGAAAAGAAGAAUCUCAAUCUAGAUUCAAUAGAAGAAGAUCAAGACACAAGAGAAACGAAGAUGAUACAGACAUAUCUGACAAGGAUAUAUACAUUCAUUCUUGAGUACCCUUACUAUUCUCAAGAUUGACUAUAUCCCUUUGGUUAUCCUAAAGAGAACUAGAACAGAAUUAGAAGAAAGAAAAUUUUGAUUUCCAAAAUCAUAAAAGUCUUUAAUGACUAUCUCCAAUAGUGCAAUCAACAUUUAUGAUUCUCCAAUGUCUCGCUUAGAAGAUACCUAUAUAAAGAGAUAUUUGUCAAAAAAAUUGUUGUGCAACUUCACCCGGACUCUUGUAUUUAAUCUUUAUUCUUGCAAUCAUUACUGUGAUAUUUUUGUUGGUGUAUAUGUAUUUUAUUAUUAAAUUAAUAUAUUAAGGGUAUAUGUUAGUGGGUAUAAAUUGUGUAUUAUGAGUAUUAUUAUUUACAUUUGUUAGUGGAAGAAUGUGGUCAUGAGUUUCUUGAAACACCUAUAACAACUAAGUCUUUAUUUGUCCAUUAUGCUUGUAACUCAUGUAACAUCCAACCAUUCAUUUACCCA